rnacentral:rRNA from 1 species
AUUGAACGCUGGCGGCAGGCCUAACACAUGCAAGUCGCACGAGUGGCGGACGGGCGAGUAAUGUAUGGGAACGUGCCUGAUGGAGGGGUAUGACUACUGGAAAACGUAGCUAAUAGUGCUUACAAUCGGUUGUGCCUUGAUGGGAUUAGCUAGUCGGGGGGGUAACGGCUCACCUAGGCGACGAACCCUAGCUGGUCUGAGAGGAUGACCAGCCACACUGGAACUGAGACACGGUCCAGACUCCUACGGGAGGCAGCAGUGGGGAAUAUUGCACAAUGGGCGCAAGCCUGAUGCAGCCAUGCCGCGGGUAUGAAGAAGGCCUUCGGGUUGUAAAGUACUUUCAGCGAGGAGGCGUUACUCGAAGAAGAAGCACCGGCUAACUCCGUGCCAGCAGCCGCGGUAAUUC